UAUAAAAUGAGAUGGCAGAAGUUAAGACGGCGGAAAUGAGUAACAGCGGGAGGAACGCACAAUAUGACUGCUCCAAGCCAUUUACAAUCAUGGGUGUGAGCCAGUGCAGGAACUAGAGACACGAGACCCCAUCAAUACGUCCUUAUCCGAGAAGACGAAGGUUUCACAGAUUACUGCGGGGCUUGAAAACACUGAGUUAUCAAAUUCACAGGCGGCUUUUCGGGGCUUUGCAUCGGCUUCAAACGAAACAUAAAACCUGUUGGGGGCCCGACACAAGAAAGCUUUUGCUUAGCCUCUUCGAAAGGUGUUUACAUGUUGGGACGACACAAAAUAAAGGAACAUGAAAUCA